GUCUGUUGAUGCUGACUGGAGCUCCAGAAAGCCUUGCUCUAACGGUGCUUGGAUAAUAGAAGGCUAUCUGGGAAGGCUGGUUAUCAGAAGUUAUUUCCAGAAUCCCUUCACGAUGACCUCAACCAAGGCAGUUUCUUGAGGGAGCUGCUCGUGCUGUUGGUUGCCAGGCCACGGAGGAGCCAGGUGCUGGAGAAGCUGGGCUGAGAGGUCAUGAACUGGAACGAGGAGGGAAAACCAUCCUGCAGUAUCCCUCCUGUGCCCUCCGCAGACAAAGCCUAACAUGAUGCCAUCUGGCACAGGACAGUCCAGCUUCUUCUGAGAGGACCUUCUUUUAUUAUGGAAGAGGACAUGUGAGGACACAGCAAGAAGGUGACCAUCUGCAAGGAGAAAAGAGAGCUGUCACUAGGAACUGACCCUGCUGGGCCUUGACCUUGGUUUCCCAGUCUCCAAGACUGGGAGAAUAAAUUCCCAUUGAUUAUGCCA